rnacentral:misc_RNA from 1 species
GAGGUAACAACCAUCAGAGUGGGUGGAGUUAGUGUGCAGAGGGAGUGGCGUGUGGAUCAGAGAGUGCUGUUUUUACUAUGCAGAGUGCUUAGAAAAUUUGUGUUUAUUAGUGGACUGAGAUCGAAGAACAGUUUUAGAAAUUUAUCCUUAUACCAAACUUAAUUUUAAGAAUUUUCUGUAAUAUUGCACCAAAGGUAUGCUAGCUUUCUUUUUCUUUUGUUAGUCAUUUCCUUCAUAACAAUAUUUUUAGAUGACAAAUUUUUUUUCUUCAAAUUUCGUUAUACUUGAUAGGUUGUUUCAGGGAGAUAACUUGUUGCUAUUUAAUUCAGAGCGUGAAAAUGUUUGGGAGAGCCUUUUUAUAUUAAAAUUAUGAUAGAGUGGAUGGCUUUAAGCCGCACAAUAGAUUUUAACUUGUACAUAUAUGUAUUAAUCAAUACAUAAAAUGUGUUGUAAAGCAAAUUCAUGUAUUGUUUGGUUUUUCAAAACAAGUAUUAGUGACUAGUUAAUCCUAUUAUCGUAUGUACAGUUUCCCAAAAUUUCCACUCGUAGUUGUAAUAUAAUAUAUAUAUAUAUAUCAGUAUAUUGCUAUUGUGAAUGUAGUCGAGCAAGACCUUUUCAAAAGCUUUGUUUCAUUAAUUUUUCACCAUCCAUUUUUGUCCAAAUAAGUCUUAAAGUAAGAGUUGGAGAGUUAUCUCUGCCCCGCAUCAGUUUUACCAGUAUGUUUAUUCGUUUGUAACUAAACUGAGAAUUUUACUGCACAUUGUAAGAGCAAGACAAGAGUAGGAGAUGGACUGAAUUUGUGAACUUAAUGAGACUAUAUCAUGUUUUGAGUGGACUGGAAAAGACUGAAUCAUGAAUGAUAUGGAUUUAAUCAUGAAUGAUCUGGAAUGGAAUAAUGAGUGAUCUAGAAUAGACUGAAUUUUGAGUGAUCUGGAACAGUCUGAAUCUUGAGUGAUCUGGAACAGUCUGAAUCUUGAGUGAUCUGGAGCAGUCUGAAUCUUGAGUGAUCUGGAACAGUCUGAAUCUUGAGUGAUCUGGAGUAGAAUGGAUUCAGUGGAGUGUGGAUGAACUGGCAUGGACUCGGAUGUUGUGUGAUUUUGUUCUCAUGUUGUACAGCGUUGAAAGAAUUAAAAAGAGUGUGUA